rnacentral:pre_miRNA from 1 species
AGAGGAAUAGCUGGGUCAAAUGGUGGUUCCAUUCCCAGAUUUCCAAGGAAUCUCCAUACUGCUUUCCAUAUUGGCUGCACCAAUUUGCAGUCCCACUAGCAGU